UGACCUCGGAUCAGACGUGAUUACCCGCUGAAUUUAAGCAUAUUAUUAAAAAAAGCGAAAAGGGAGAAAGAAACUAACAAGGAUUCCCUAGUAACGCGCGACGUGAACGCGGGAAGAGCCCCAACACCGAAUCCCUUGGCGCAAGUCAACGGAAAUGUUGGUGUUAAGGUGGUAGCCCUUCGUCGUCAGUCUAGGCGUCUCAAGUCCACCUGAUUGUGGCUCAAGCCCAGAGGCGUGUAAGGCCCGUAGAGACGCUCCGACUGAUUCCUGGGUUUACCUACGAGUCGCGCUUGUUUCGGGAAUGCAGGCCAAAGCGGUGGCAAACUCCAUCCAAGGCUAAAUACUGCGCACGAAGUCGAUAGCGGACGAACAAGCACCGUGAGGGGAAAGUUGAAAAGAACUUUGAAGAGAGAGUUCAAUAGUUACGUGGAAACCGCUUAGAGGAAACGGAUGGUGCUCAUACUGGCCUGAGGAAUUCAACUGUGACGGUGGCCUGACCAGGCUGGUCCGUUCGAUCUCUCUAUGUUUGGACGCGGGCGUCGGUUUGGUGGCUAUCAGCCCUCCGAACAUGGUGCACUUUCCUUGGUCCCCCGCCACGACCGACGACACUGGCUACCCGCGGCUGGGGUACAGGUUGACAAACUGCUUCGGCAAUUUGUGUUAUAGGACCCCGCGUCGGACCAUGCGUUUGGCCAGGGACGUCGAUGCGUUGCCGAGCCGCCCGCUCCUUCGUGGCUCGCAUUGUUGGCUAGCUUGCUGC
rnacentral:ncRNA from 1 species